GACGAACGCUGGCGGCGUGCUUAACACAUGCAAGUCGAACGGAAAGGCCUCUUUCGGGGGGUACUCGAGUGGCGAACGGGUGAGUAACACGUGAGUAACCUGCCCUUGACUUUGGGAUAACUUCAGGAAACUGGGGCUAAUACCGGAUAGGAGCUCCUGCUGCAUGGUGGGGGUUGGAAAGUUUCGGCGGUUGGGGAUGGACUCGCGGCUUAUCAGCUUGUUGGUGGGGUAGUGGCUUACCAAGGCUUUGACGGGUAGCCGGCCUGGGAGGGUGACCGGCCACAGUGGGACUGAGAUACGGCCCAGACUCCUACGGGAGGCAGCAGUGGGGAAUAUUGCACAAUGGGUGGAAGCCUGAUGCAGCAACGCCGUGUGCGGGAUGACGGCCUUCGGGUUGUAAACCGCUUUCGCUCAUGACGAAGCUUUGUGUGACGGUAGUGGGUAAAGAAGCACCGGCUAACUACGUG
rnacentral:rRNA from 1 species